CCUACGGGAGGCAGCAGUGGGGGAUAUUGCACAAUGGGGGGAACCCUGAUGCAGCGACGCCGCGUGGGUGAAGAAGCGUUUCGGCUCGUAAAGCCCUAUCGGCAGGGAAGAAAAUGACGGUACCUGACUAAGAAGCCCCGGCUAACUACGUGCCAGCAGCCGCGGUAAUACGUAGGGGGCAAGCGUUAUCCGGAUUUACUGGGUGUAAAGGGGGCGUAGACGGGAAAGCAAGUCAGAUGUGAAAGCCCGGGGCCCAACCCCGGGACUGCACUUGGAACUGUUUGGCUGGAGUACAGGAGAGGUAGGCGGAAUUCCUAGUGUAGCGGUGAAAUGCGUAGAUAUUAGGAGGAACACCCGUGGCGAAGGCGGCCUGCUGGACUGUAACUGACGUUGAGGCCCGAAGGCGUGGGGAGCAAACAGGAUUAGAUACCCUGGUAGUC
rnacentral:rRNA from 1 species